UACGUAGGGGGCAAGCGUUAUCCGGAUUUACUGGGUGUAAAGGGAGCGUAGACGGACUGGCAAGUCUGAUGUGAAAGGCGGGGGCUCAACCCCUGGACUGCAUUGGAAACUGUUAGUCUUGAGUGCCGGAGAGGUAAGCGGAAUUCCUAGUGUAGCGGUGAAAUGCGUAGAUAUUAGGAGGAACACCAGUGGCGAAAGCGGCUUACUGGACGGUAACUGACGUUGAGGCUCGAAAGCGUGGGGAGCAAACAGG
rnacentral:rRNA from 1 species